CUUGACAAGCUAGGUGGAGGCUUGGAAAGGAAGCGGGUCGGACGAAUCAAGUGUGAAGGAAAAGUGUGUUUCGGAUGCAAGGAAUGUCUUAUGGAACUCCGGAUGAGGAUCAAGCAAGAAAGGAGAACCGAACACAUGUCUUGAAGCUUCCGCAACGAUCUUAUUUUGUUAUAGUUUAAAAAGUGGAUAUUGUAAACACUUGAAAUUAUAUUUUGGAAUGUUUUAAAUUAUGUAAGAAGUUUAACUUGGAAAAGUUUUUGUAA